rnacentral:rRNA from 1 species
UGGGGAAUAUUGCACAAUGGAGGGAACUCUGAUGCAGCGACGCCGCGUGAGGGAUGAAGGAAUUCGUUUUGUAAAACUCUGUUCUAUGGGAAGAAAAGGACUGUACUAUAGGAGAAAGCUCCGGCUAAAUACGUGCCAGUAGCCGCGGUAAUACGUAUGGAGCGAGCGUUGUCCGGAAUUAUUGGGCGUAAAGGGUGCGCAGGCGGCUUUACAAGUUGGAUGUGAAAUAUUGUGGCUCAACCACAAACGUGCAUCCAAAACUGCAAAGCUUGAGUUAAGGAGAGGUAAGUGGAAUUCCUGGUGUAGCGGUGGAAUGCGUAGAUAUCAGGAGGAAUACCGGUGGCGAAGGCGACUUACUGGACUUAAACUGACGCUCAGGCACGAAAGCGUGGGGAGCAAACAGG